rnacentral:rRNA from 1 species
AGAGUUUGAUCCUGGCUCAGGAUGAACGCUAGCUACAGGCUUAACACAUGCAAGUCGAGGGGCAUCAGGAAGAAAGCUUGCUUUCUUUGCUGGCGACCGGCGCACGGGUGAGUAACACGUAUCCAACCUGCCCUUUACUCGGGGAUAGCCUUUCGAAAGAAAGACUAAUACCCGAUAGCAUAAUGAUUCCGCAUGGUUUCAUUAUUAAAGGAUUCCGGUAAAGGAUGGGGAUGCGUUCCAUUAGGUUGUUGGUGAGGUAACGGCUCACCAAGCCUUCGAUGGAUAGGGGUUCUGAGAGGAAGGUCCCCCACAUUGGAACUGAGACACGGUCCAAACUCCUACGGGAGGCAGCAGUGAGGAAUAUUGGUCA